rnacentral:rRNA from 1 species
UACGGAGGGGGCGAGCGUUAUUCGGAAUUAUUGGGCGUAAAGGGCGCGUAGGCGGCUGAACAAGUCAAAGGUGAAAUCCCUCGGCUCAACCUUGGAACUGCCUUUGAUACUGUUUGGCUUGAGACCGGUAAAGGUAAGUGGAACUGCGAGUGUAGAGGUGAAAUUCGUAGAUAUUCGCAAGAACACCAGUGGCGAAGGCGGCUUACUGGACCGGUUCUGACGCUGAGGCGCGAAAGCGUGGGGAGCAAACAGG